GAAAAAGUAUAUUUUCCUACAUGAUCCGUUAACUCAAACUUCUAAUUUACAAUUCUAAAACUAAAUACAACCAUGUUUUCAGUUCAUACUGCCCUUAAUGCAAUGACUCAAACCAGGGGCGUAGGAAGCGUAAGGUUGGAGGCUAGCCCCCCUUCACUUGUUGAACAAGGUGUGGGGGUGGGGGAAUAGGUUUUGGCCUGCCAAAACAUAUCUGAAUUUACCGUUUACUUGGUU